GUGUGUGGCUUGACUGUGUGUGGCUUGAUGGUGAAUUUGUGUGUGGCUUGACUGUGUGUGUGUGACUCUGUGAAUAUUGCAUUUGCUUGAUGGUGUGGCUGGUAUUCUUUGUUGAAUGAUUGGUUGUAUUACUUGUGUUUUAUAUUGUUGUGGCACGAUUGAUUGUUGUUUGUUGAAUGCGAACUCGUAUCUUGACGAAUAAUCAUGUAUGCUAACUUGGUAUUGGUAGUUCCUGAUCACCUAUUACUUGUUUAGUGUAGACUUACUAUUCUUUUUUCUGAACUUUUUUGUGAUUAUUUCUUCACAUUGCACUGCUCGAUCCAUAUCGACAUGCCCACGCUGUCUGAUGACGAUAAAGAUGUAAGGAACUCCUCCCAAGAAUCUCUCUUGCUCUUCGUGUUAACUUGACGACUAGGCUUUACAUGUUAAAAAUAUUUUUUUUUUCGUGAAACUGGAGCUCCUUGCUGUAACCCAUUAUAUGACUUUAUUUAUGAGCAUGCACCACUUUCAGGUUAUGAGAAAAAUAGGGUGCCCCAACCAAGAUUGACUUCCUCUCUCUUUCUUAUACAAGGCAUGCAGAAGAUGUGUGGCAAGCAUGGGAGUUCCUCUCAAAGUUAGGUGAUCUUAGCCAAACUCUGAUUUUUGCCAAAAUUGAGAAUGUGGAGGGCUUGAACCAUUUUGAUGAGAUCCUGGAAGAAGUAGAUGGUAUAAUUCUGUCAAGAGGAAACCUUGGAAUUGAUCUUCCACCUGAAAAGGUUGGUUAUCUCAACCUUUGCAAUGCAUUAUCUCUUAACGUGUUGUCCUAGUAGUGAAAAAAUUAGAGAGAAUCACCCCAAUGCAUUGUUUCUUAAGGGUUGUAUCUAAAUGAUGUUGCGUUGUGGAGAAAAUUAAAGAGUAGGAAAACAGGGAGUGCAAGAAAACGAGCUAAGAGCCGUACCUAUAUGAACAUACAGCUCCACUCUCGUUCUUUCUUAAUUAUUACAGUGCCGCAUCAGCAUUUUGACUAUGAUAACGUGCUAAGAGAAGCACUAUGAGUGCCCUUGGCAGUUGUGAAGGCAUUUUGCUUGAUUAACAUGUAUU